rnacentral:ncRNA from 2 species
GGGUACGAAAAGGCGCCAGGACACUGCAGCAUAUGCUGUGUCGACGAGGGGAAGGAAGCUUGGCAUUAAAGAUAAUUAACUGAAAGUGCCAGGUAUCGAAAUAUUCGGCGGAUACCUUCCGGUUUAUCACGAUCGUAAAGACUUAACAAAAUUUGCAGGUGACUGCAUGAACAAAAAGAGUCUGUGUGAUUAA